rnacentral:lncRNA from 1 species
UGGCUGUGGCAAUAGUAGCAUACAUAGACAUUCGAUGAAUAAGAAUGGAGAUUUGUCGGUCAGAUAAUCCGUCAAUGUUCCAUUCAUAAAUGGCUUCUCCACUAUAAGAAGUAUUUGUCUGAUUCCAUUCCCUUUCCUCUAUCAGAACAUCUUGAGGAGUUGGGCGUGGAUAAUAUGCAGUAGACAUACGGGGAAUAUCAGCGUACUUCUUUCCAGGUUGUUUUUUAAUCAAACCUUUGAGCUUAUUAAGCUCGGAAGAGAUUAUAAUGCCAGGAUUUUCAGCAGAAUCAAUAUUCUCAGCAAAAUUAGACUCAAGAUUUUGUACAAAAUCAUCAGAAAUAUUGAGGGGUGUAAUAUUUAAACGAGAAAAUUUUUUAUCUAAGAGUUUCUCUAAUUGGUCUAAUUGAGAAACCUUUUCAAAUCCGUC